UAAAUCUAUAAUUUAAUGGAUAAAAUAAAAACCUUCUAAGUUUUAUAUGUAAGUUCAAAUCUUACUAGAUUUAA
rnacentral:tRNA from 4 species